rnacentral:rRNA from 1 species
UAACACGUGGGUAACCUGCCUUAUAGUGGGGGAUAGCCUUUCGAAAGGAAGAUUAAUACCGCAUAAGAUUGUAGUAUCGCAUGAUAUAGCAAUUAAAGGAGCAAUUCGCUAUAAGAUGGACCCGCGUCGCAUUAGCUAGUUGGUAAGGUAAUGGCUCACCAAGGCGACGAUGCGUAGCCGACCUGAGAGGGUGAUCGGCCACAUUGGGACUGAGACACGGCCCAGACUCCUACGGGAGGCAGCAUG